rnacentral:lncRNA from 1 species
AGCUACACAAUUCUCUGUCCACUCGGUUUCAUAAGAAAUAUUUAUAACGUAGUAUGUGUCACGUGCGCACCCACUCCCUACGUGGAUCUGCCCCCUGAUUACUCCUAAACCAAAGCAAACAAGAAAGUUGUCAAGAUCUCGGGAUUGGAUCUUCUUGUUGGUUUUUUGAAGAAAUUCAUACUUAAUUUUGUUGCUCUUUAUCGUGUGAAUCAUCUCAUAUGAAAA